UGCAAGUCGAACGAAACCUUCGGGUUUAGUGGCGCACGGGUGCGUAACGCGUGGGAAUCUGCCCUUGGGUUCGGAAUAACAGAGAGAAAUUUCCGCUAAUACCGGAUGAUGACUUAAGCUCAAAGAUUUAUCGCCCAAGGAUGAGCCCGCGUAGGAUUAGCUAGUUGGUGAGGUAAAGGCUCACCAAGGCGACGAUCCUUAGCUGGUCUGAGAGGAUGAUCAGCCACACUGGGACUGAGACACGGCCCAGACUCCUACGGGAGGCAGCAGUGGGGAAUAUUGGACAAUGGGCGAAAGCCUGAUCCAGCAAUGCCGCGUGAGUGAUGAAGGGCUUAGGGUUGUAAAGCUCUUUUACCCGGGAUGAUAAUGACAGUACCGGGAGAAUAAGCCCCGGCUAACUCCGUGCCAGCAGCCGCGGUAAU
rnacentral:rRNA from 1 species